rnacentral:rRNA from 1 species
CCUACGGGAGGCAGCAGUGAGGAAUAUUGGUCAAUGGACGAGAGUCUGAACCAGCCAAGUAGCGUGAAGGAUGACUGCCCUAUGGGUUGUAAACUUCUUUUAUAUGGGAAUAAAACGUUCCACGAGUGGGAUUUUGUAUGUACCAUAUGAAUAAGGAUCGGCUAACUCCGUUCCAGCAGCCGCGGUAAUACGGAGGAUCCGAGCGUUAUCCGGAUUUAUUGGGUUUAAAGGGAGCGUAGGUGGAUUGUUAAGUCAGUUGUGAAAGUUUGCGGCUCAACCGUAAAAUUGCAGUUGAAACUGGCAGUCUUGAGUACAGUAGAGGUGGGCGGAAUUCGUGGUGUAGCGGUGAAAUGCUUAGAUAUCACGAAGAACUCCGAUUGCGAAGGCAGUUCACUGGACUGCAACUGACACUGAGGCUCGAAAGUGUGGGUAUCAAACAGGAUUAGAUACCCUUGUAGUC